UUUGUUUAAAUUAAGUAACCAAAUUCUUUCUUACAAGGAUAAAGUUGCCAACUCUUCUAUUUUUUUUAUACAAAACAUUACAGGCUGGGCAAUAGGAAUUCUAACGAUUUUAUAACAGUUUCUCCCCUCAUGACACCUGAUAUCAACAACAAAGUUGAAGAUUCAUUCCCAUUAAGUAGGAAAAAAUUGUCGUUACUUUUGCAAGAAUUCUGGAAUUUCGAAAGGAAAUUGAUUGGUACUAUGUUGGAUGCACACACUGUUUGAAGACUGUCAUGCCCUAUUUUAAUCCAGAAACAGACGAAUGUGACCUCAAUAAGUAUUCAUGCCAUCAUUGCAACAAGGAUGAAACUUCCACAAGUAUAAGGUGCAAAGUACAUGUUAAAAUUGUUGAUCAUACUGCUGCAACCGCUUCCUUCCUUUUGUUUGAUAGGGAAGUUAUCCAACUUAUUCGUAAGUCUGCUUAUCGUAUAGUUAGUUGUAUACGAUAGAGAUGCUAAUCACAAUAUACGGUUAUAUUUGUAGGAGAUAUUUUAGGCAAGUGAUAACUCCAUAUUUAACAUUAUUACUCCUAAUAGAUCUUACGUAACCGGCUCGAGUCUUGGCAGAUAUGCAUCUUUUUUGCAGGAUUUGGGUAAACCAAGAGUGUAAAAACGUUAACUGAAACAACUAACUAAAUAACCUUACACAGUUGUUACAUAUUUAUAAUACAUAAACUGAUCAAGUUAACGAUUGAUAUAAAAAGUAUUGUGCAUGACGGUAAAACUUAAAAGCCAGAUGCGGGAAAAACCAAAAUAGACCAAUCUGGUUGUGUCACUGCAAGUUUGCGUUUUCCUUUAGGGGCUGCAAUCUCUUAGUCCGCUUCUAUAUAUUCAGUUACUUGAAUCAGCAAACAGAGAGAAAA